AAGGAAUGGAAGUGAGGAUACAGAGAAUGCACAAACGGGAACCAUGUGAGGACAGUGAGAAGGUGGCCAUCUACAAGACGAGAUGAGAGGCCUCAGAAGAAAGAAACCAAAUCUACAGACACCUUGAUCUUCAACUUCUGGCAUCCAAAACUGUCUGAGAAGGAUGCCAGACACCUGACAGGCACUCAAGCAUUUGAUGAAUGAACAAAAUGUUGUUGUGACCUAUUCCAAUCCUGAGCAUGUGUUUGCACAGUCAUUCUAGAUUCAUUUAGGGGUACUGGUUCCAGAACUAGAAUCCAAAGUGAAUUAUGAGUAUAACAUCAGGGUUUUGUUUCUCUGUCUCUCUCUCUCUGUUUCUCUCUUUUUCUUUGUCUAUUCUGAGGUAGUUGAUUGGUCUGCGAAGGGUAAAAUAUGGCAAAAAUGAUUUCCAUUUGGUGUUUGUAAGUUAUUUCAAAGACAUAGCAGCUUGAGAAUAAAAAUUCUUUUUUUCUUUCUCAAGUCUGAUGUUCAGCUGUUUAGUGGAUGUAACAUGAAUUUCUUUUGAGUCUCCU
rnacentral:lncRNA from 10 species